rnacentral:rRNA from 1 species
UGGCCGGUACAACGGGCUGCGAACUCGCGAGAGUAAGCGAAUCCCUUAAAGCCGGUCCUAGUUCGGAUUGGAGGCUGCAACCCGCCUCCAUGAAGUCGGAGUUGCUAGUAAUCGCGGAUCAGCAUGCCGCGGUGAAUACGUUCCCGGGUCUUGUACACACCGCCCGUCACACCACCCGAGUCGUCUGCACCCGAAGUCGCUGGCCCAACCCUUGUGGAGGGAGGCGCCGAAGGUGUGGAGGGUAAGGGGGGUGAAGUCGUAACAAGGUACC